rnacentral:rRNA from 1 species
ACAUGCCUACAACAUAGAGUUAAUGCAUCGGAUCCCAUUAGAACUCCACAGUUAAGCGUGCUCGGUCUAGAGUAGUACUGGGAUGGGUGACUGCUCGGGAAGUACUAGUAUUUUACAUGCC